UCCGGUGUAGCUCAGUGGUAGAGCGGUCGGCUGUUAACCGAUUGGUCGUAGGUUCGAAUCCUACCACCGGAGCCA
rnacentral:tRNA from 1 species